UUUAAAUUUAUUUAAAGUUAAACAUAAAAUUCUUCAAAUAAAUCCUAAUUGACUUAAUGUAGAAAAAGCAAUAAUUUUUUUGAAAU